GAUGAACGCUAGCUCCAGGCUUAACACAUGCAAGUCGAGGGACCGGCGCACGGGUGAGUAACACGUAUCCAACCUGCCCUUUACUCGGGGAUAGCCUUUCGAAAGAAAGAUUAAUACCCGAUAUAAAGGAUGGGGAUGCGUUCCAUUAGGUUGUUGGUGAGGUAACGGCUCACCAAGCCUUUGAUGGAUAGGGGGUCGGUGAGGAAGGUCCCCCACAUUGGAACUGAGCCACGGUCCAAACUCCGACGGGAGGCAGCAGGGAGGAAUAUUGGUCAAUGGGCGCUAGCCUGAACCAGCCAAGUAGCGUGAAGGAGGAAGGCUUAUGGGUAGUAAGCUUCUUUUAUAUAAGAAUAUGUAUUAUAUGAAUAAGGAUCGGCUUACUCCGUGCCAGCCGCCGCGGUAAUUC
rnacentral:rRNA from 1 species